CCUACGGGUGGCUGCAGUCGAGAAUCAUUCACAAUGGGGGAAACCCUGAUGGUGCGACGCCGCGUGGGGGAAUGAAGUUCUUCGGAUUGUAAACCCCUGUCAUGUGGGAGCAAAUUAACAAGAUAGUACCACAAUAGGCAGAGACUGCUAACUCUGUGCCAGCAGCCGCGGUAAUACAGAGGUCUCAAGCGUUGUUCGGAAUCACUGGGCGUAAAGCGUGCGUAGGCUGUUUCGUAAGUCGUGUGUGAAAGGCGCGGGCUCAACCCGCGGACGGCACAUGAUACUGCGAGACUAGAGUAAGGGAGGGGGAACCGGAAUUCUCGGUGUAGCAGUGAAAUGCGUAGAUAUCGAGAGGAACACUCGUGGCGAAGGCGGGUUCCUGGACAGUAACUGACGCUGAGGCACGAAGGCCAGGGGAGCGAAAGGGAUUAGAUACCCGAGUAGUC
rnacentral:rRNA from 1 species